rnacentral:tRNA from 1 species
GCUUCGGUAGCGCAGUCGGUAGCGCGUCAGUCUCAAAUCUGAAGGUCGUGAGUUCGAGGCUCACAAGGAGCA